UUUUAUGGAGAGUUUGAUCCUGGCUCAGGAUGAACGCUGGCGGCGUGCCUAAUACAUGCAAGUCGAGCGAACGGACGAGAAGCUUGCUUCUCUGAUGUUAGCGGCGGACGGGUGAGUAACACGUGGAUAACCUACCUAUAAGACUGGGAUAACUUCGGGAAACCGGAGCUAAUACCGGAUAAUAUUUUGAACCGCAUGGUUCAAAAGUGAAAGACGGUCUUGCUGUCACUUAUAGAUGGAUCCGCGCUGCAUUAGCUAGUUGGUAAGGUAACGGCUUACCAAGGCAACGAUGCAUAGCCGACCUGAGAGGGUGAUCGGCCACACUGGAACUGAGACACGGUCCAGACUCCUACGGGAGGCAGCAGUAGGGAAUCUUCCGCAAUGGGCGAAAGCCUGACGGAGCAACGCCGCGUGAGUGAUGAAGGUCUUCGGAUCGUAAAACUCUGUUAUUAGGGAAGAACAUAUGUGUAAGUAACUGUGCACAUAUUGACGGUACCUAAUCAGAAAGCCACGGCUAACUACGUGCCAGCAGCCGCGGUAAUACGUAGGUGGCAAGCGUUAUCCGGAAUUAUUGGGCGUAAAGCGCGCGUAGGCGGUUUUUUAAGUCUGAUGUGAAAGCCCACGGCUCAACCGUGGAGGGUCAUUGGAAACUGGAAAACUUGAGUGCAGAAGAGGAAAGUGGAAUUCCAUGUGUAGCGGUGAAAUGCGCAGAGAUAUGGAGGAACACCAGUGGCGAAGGCGACUUUCUGGUCUGUAACUGACGCUGAUGUGCGAAAGCGUGGGGAUCAAACAGGAUUAGAUACCCUGGUAGUCCACGCCGUAAACGAUGAGUGCUAAGUGUUAGGGGGUUUCCGCCCCUUAGUGCUGCAGCUAACGCAUUAAGCACUCCGCCUGGGGAGUACGACCGCAAGGUUGAAACUCAAAGGAAUUGACGGGGACCCGCACAAGCGGUGGAGCAUGUGGUUUAAUUCGAAGCAACGCGAAGAACCUUACCAAAUCUUGACAUCCUUUGACAACUCUAGAGAUAGAGCCUUCCCCUUCGGGGGACAAAGUGACAGGUGGUGCAUGGUUGUCGUCAGCUCGUGUCGUGAGAUGUUGGGUUAAGUCCCGCAACGAGCGCAACCCUUAAGCUUAGUUGCCAUCAUUAAGUUGGGCACUCUAAGUUGACUGCCGGUGACAAACCGGAGGAAGGUGGGGAUGACGUCAAAUCAUCAUGCCCCUUAUGAUUUGGGCUACACACGUGCUACAAUGGACAAUACAAAGGGCAGCGAAACCGCGAGGUCAAGCAAAUCCCAUAAAGUUGUUCUCAGUUCGGAUUGUAGUCUGCAACUCGACUACAUGAAGCUGGAAUCGCUAGUAAUCGUAGAUCAGCAUGCUACGGUGAAUACGUUCCCGGGUCUUGUACACACCGCCCGUCACACCACGAGAGUUUGUAACACCCGAAGCCGGUGGAGUAACCUUUUAGGAGCUAGCCGUCGAAGGUGGGACAAAUGAUUGGGGUGAAGUCGUAACAAGGUAGCCGUAUCGGAAGGUGCGGCUGGAUCACCUCCUUUCUAA
rnacentral:rRNA from 1 species